CCAAUAGCGUAUAUUAAAGUUGUUGCAGUUAAAAAGCUCGUAGUUGAAUUUCGGGAUCAGUACGCUGGUCGUGCCUUCGGUAUGCACUGGUGUCACUGGUUCCUCCCUUCUGACGAACCGUCAUGCCAUUCACUUGGUGUGGCGGGAAAUCAGGACUGUUACUUUGAAAAAAUUAGAGUGUUUAAAGCAGGCUCACGCUUGAAUACAUUAGCAUGGAAUAAUGAAAUAGGACGUUGAUCUUAUUUUGUUGGUUUCUAGGAUUGACGUAAUGAUUAAUAGGGAUAGUUGGGGGCAUUAGUAUUCAAUUGUCAGAGGUGAAAUUCUUGGAUUUAUUGAAGACUAACUACUGCGAAAGCAUUUGCCAAGGAUGUUUUCAUUAAUCAAGAACGAAAGUUAGGGGAUCGAAGACGAUCAGAUACCGUCGUAGUCUUAACCAUAAACUAUGCCGACUAGGGAUCGGAUGAUGUUAAUUUUUUAAUGACUCAUUCGGCGCCUUACG
rnacentral:rRNA from 1 species